GCCCAUAAUUGAUGUUCUUGUUAGCAAUCCGAAAGAGAGGGUGAGUAAGAAAAAAAGAGGUGUAUAGAAGCAAAUCCUUUGGGCUUAUUAUUUAGAGGCCCAAGUCAUGAGGGGCAAAGUAAAGAGGAAUGUCUCAUAUGCGUCUCAUUUCCUAUUCAGUCUCCAACAUACACUUUCUCCCUCUCUUGUGACUCCUUGGCCGGAGAUCGCUCUGUCGUGCCGGAGGCGGCGGAGCAACCAAGAUCCUCCCAUAUCCACCACCGACAAAUUCCCAUCAUUCUCCUCUUCUUACUUCUCAACUUUAAUUUCGUUGAAACUCGGUGAAAAUCUCACGUCCCCCACAAACAUUCCAAGAACCCUAUGUCUCUAAUUCAAAAUUAAAUAACCAUGAUUCACUAAUCUGAACCCAAACCUUAGGGGUUUGGUUUGUCUACUCAAGCACUACAACCUGGUAACUAGAUUGAAGCAAGACAAUGAAGAAUAAAAGGCGAUGAGCUUACCUACAGAAUUGAGGUAUGCUCUGGGAAAUGUUGGAGCAGUUGCGGAAGAAGAUGCAGAGAAAAAUACCAUAACUAUGAUCAGGAUUACUACAAACUUGGUGCAAUGAGCAUAUAAUAUGGUUUUUAGCAAGGCAUAAAACAUCAUGGUGGGAUCUAAGUUAUGAAGAGUUUCUUUGGAGUCACAUAAGAAUGGAAGAUCUUGAGGAUGGAGAAAAAAGUAGGAUUAAGAGUCAGUUUGACUUGGUCAACUGUUGACUAGAAAGUCAUAAGUUGACCAAAAGUCAACUCUAGGUCAAAUAUGAUUUUUUUUGUAUAACUUGAUUUUGGCUUUUUUAUAAUGUAUUUGGAUGUUUAUAAUGAAGAUUGGCUUUUGAAUA